rnacentral:rRNA from 1 species
AUUGAACGCUGGCGGCAUGCUUUACACAUGCAAGUCGAACGGCAGCGGGGAGGAGCUUGCUUCUCUGCCGGCGAGUGGCGAACGGGUGAGUAAUACAUCGGAACGUGUCGAGAAGAGGGGGAUAACCACCCGAAAGGGUGGCUACUACCGCAUAAAUUCUGAGGAAGAAAGCUGGGGACCUAGGAAUAGGCCUAGCGCUUUUUGAGCGGCCGAUGUCGGAUUAGCUAGUUGGUGAGGUAAAGGCUCACCAAGGCGAAGAUCUGUAGCGGGUCUGAGAGGAUGAUCCGCCACACUGGGACUGAGACACGGCCCAGACUCCUACGGGAGGCAGCAGUGGGGAAUUUUGGACAAUGGGGGCAACCCUGAUCCAGCCAUGCCGCGUGUAUGAAGAAGGCCUUAGGGUUGUAAAGUACUUUUGUUAGGGAAGAAAAGUCAGCUGUGAAUAAUGGCUGAUACUGACGGUACCUAAAGAAUAAGCACCGGCUAACUACGUG